UACGUAGGGGGGCUAGCGUUGUCCGGAAUUAUUGGGCGUAAAGAGCUUGUAGGCGGUUUGUCGCGUCUGCUGUGAAAUUUCGGGGCUCAACCCCGAACUUGCAGUGGGUACGGGCAGACUAGAGUGUGGUAGGGGAGACUGGAAUUCCUGGUGUAGCGGUGAAAUGCGCAGAUAUCAGGAGGAACACCGAUGGCGAAGGCAGGUCUCUGGGCCAUAACUGACGCUGAGAAGCGAAAGCAUGGGGAGCGAACAGG
rnacentral:rRNA from 1 species